UGCAGUUUUACAUUCGUAUUUGUAUUUAAGUUUCAAUUGUAAAUUCCUUUCAUGUAUUUUGUAUAAAAAUGAAGUUUGUCUGUUAGUUUAUGUUUUGAUAGUUUCCACUUCUGAAUUCCUCAGUGUUGUCCACGUACUAGUUGUUAUAUAAAAAUUGUCGUUCUCCUUAUGAUGGCUGUACACCAGAUAUACUCAGGACAUAUUGAGACAUGAAUUACCAUUUCUACCACAUGGGAAAGUUUCAACAUCCUACGUUGAAAAUGGACUAGACGAUCCUGAUAAUAAUAUUAUUUUUAUGCAUAGUACGAGUAAUGGAUAUUGAAUAUAAUUGAUAGUCAAUUAAUAGUAGUGUAACAAAAAAUGGACGUAUGUCAGAUCACUCAAGGCAUGCAGAAACAUGAAUUCACAUUUCUACCACUUAAGAAAGUAUCAACAUCCUAUGCUGAAAAUGGACUAAAAGAUACUGCUAAUAAUAUUGGGUUUAUAUAAUGUGCGUGUAAGGGUUAUUGAAUAUAAUUGAUAGUAAAUUAAUGGCAGUGAAACAAUUGAGAUUUGUUAAUAAUCUGAAUAAAAUUUUAGUUAACACCUUUGAC